AUUGAACGCUGGCGGCAGGCCUAACACAUGCAAGUCGAGCGGAUGAAGGGAGCUUGCUCCUGGAUUCAGCGGCGGACGGGUGAGUAAUGCCUAGGAAUCUGCCUGGUAGUGGGGGAUAACGUCCGGAAACGGGCGCUAAUACCGCAUACGUCCUGAGGGAGAAAGUGGGGGAUCUUCGGACCUCACGCUAUCAGAUGAGCCUAGGUCGGAUUAGCUAGUUGGUGGGGUAAAGGCCUACCAAGGCGACGAUCCGUAACUGGUCUGAGAGGAUGAUCAGUCACACUGUCACUGAGACACGGUACAGACUCCUACGGGAGGCAGCAGUGGGGAAUAUUGGACGAUGGGCGAAAGCCUGAUCCAGCCAUGCCGCGUGUGUGAAGAAGGUCUUCGGAUUGUAAAGCACUUUAAGUUGGGAGGAAGGGCAGUAAGUUAAUACCUUGCUGUUUUGACGUUACCAACAGAAUAAGCACCGGCUAACUUCGUG
rnacentral:rRNA from 1 species